AUGCAUCAGCUGAUGGCCUGGUUCAUGGUCCAUAAAUCCAUUGUCUCCAACCGUGUCAUAGACACUAAUAUAAGUAUCUGCUUGGACACCACUCUAGAAAAAUGGGUAGAUAGAGGAGUGUACAUGAGAAAGAAAGAAAGAAAGAAAGAAAGAAAGAAAGAAAGAAAGAAAGAAAGAAAGAAAGAAAGAAAGAAAGAAAGAAAGAAAGAAAGAAAGAAAGAAGCUGUGGGAGACAACUACAAUAACUUCAUAUUUGGGAGUGGAACACAAUUAAAAGUAGUGCCAAAUCUCGAAGACUCUGUCCCUUCUAUCUACCAACUGAAGUCCCAAGAUGGAAAGUCAUCAGCUUGCCUUAUCACAGACUUCGCCCCUCAGAACAUCUCAGUUGGGAGUUCAGACAACGAUGAAACACAAGUCAAUGGCUCCAUUGUGCAGGUGAAAAACCCAGACAGCGGAAAAACGGAAGCAAGCUAUGGGACGGUGCUUUGGAGAGAAGAGACGUCGUUUCCCUGCAUCGCUAAACAUAAAACGGGAGAAUUCAAGAUGGGCGACAGUGAUGAGGAAGGUGACACCUGCGGGAUGAUAGAGAUGGAUGACAAUUUUGAGACAGACGAGAAGCUGAACCUCCUGUCAUUCACGCUGCUGGGCCUGAGAAUCGUUUUUGUGAAAGGAGUGGCGGUUAACCUGCUACUGACCAUCUGGCUGUGGAAAAGCUAAAGAGUGGAAGGAAAGAGGACAGAUGGAAUCUGGAGUGAUGGGAAUUCCUCAGAGACCUGCUGUCAUCUCUUCACCUUCCCAUGCAGCAGGAAAUCGAAUGCAAUGAAUGAUCCCCAUAUCACCUCUGUAGUUAGGCCUGAUGUAUAAUGAUCGGCUGUGCUUUCAUUUAGCGAGUUUUAGAAGGAUCUCACCUACCUAGCCUGGUUUUUCCAUGACCCUCAUUCCUUUCACCCUCCACAGACUGACACAUUUCUCCUCACAAGCUCCCAGUGUGAGGCAAGGAAUUGCUAUUAACUAGAGCUGGUCAACAAAUGUGUGUGAAAAUAUUUUUUGAUGGAAAAUUAGGGUUUCAAUUUUUUUGGCAGAAAGUCCCCAUUUUCCUAGAAAAAAAAACUUCAAAUUUUCAUCAGAAACCCAAAAUGUUUGGCUAAAAACUGAAUAUUUUUCCAUUUGUUUGUUGUUGUUUUUUUACAGUUUUUGGCCACAAGAUAUUUCAGAUUUGUCUGAAAAUUUUCAGUUCUCAGUUGUCAAACACCAAAAACAACUUUUUUAAAGGUUUUUUUAAAGGUUUUUUUUAAAAGUUUAAACUUUUUUAAACAUUUUUUUCCAGUGCAAAUUUCAACAAAAGUGAAUAUUUUUUAGUCUUCAUUGAAAUUUUUUGCAGAACAAACCAGGUUUACCAUUAACCCUAUUUUGAAAAGGGCAAAUUGAAGCACAGAGAAUGAGGCUGAGAUUUUCAAAGCCACCUAAGGGCUUUGGGCUCCUGCUUCCCUUGGAAAUCAAUGGGAAUUGUGCAUUAAAAUCUCCUAGGUUGAAUUUUACACUCUCUGCCACACACUGGGAUUUUCAAAGCGGCCUAGCGGAAUGAGGCCUCCAUCUCCACGUGAAAUUCAAUAGCAUUUAGGCAGCUAGUUCCUUGGAAAAUCCAGCCAACACAUUUCUGACAGUAGUGGGUUCUUUAAGGCAGAUGCGUGGAAGUUGAUGCUAAACAAAUUCAGCCUGGCAAUAAAGUGCAAAUUAACAGUGAGGGGAAUUAACCAUUGGACUGUCUUAACUAGACAUGUGUGGAUUUCGCUCACUUGAGACUGGAUGUCUUUCUAAAAGGCUGCUGGAGUUCACCUAGACGUUGUGGGCUCAAAGCAGGGAUAAGUGGGCAAAACUCUCUCAUUGUGUUAUAUGCAGGAGGUUGGGCUAGAUCAGAAUGGUCUGGUCUGGCCUCUGUGACGUGAAGAAACUCAUUCAGAUGACUCCAUGCCGCAGUCUCUACCCAUCCCCGCUCUGCAGAAUUGGAGGCCAGAUCCCCGGGUGGUAGAAGUCAGCACAACCUCACUGAUUUUCAUGCAGUUACAGCAAUUCUGGAAGAUGUGCGUUAGCCAAACACAAGAUGUGCGUUAGUCACAGACAGGUUCUGGGCUCAUUGCAGGGGAGAGGUAAUAGCCAGGAAAUCAGACUAGUCUUUCAUGCUGUAAACGCUAUGAAUUUAUACCAGCUCAGGACUGAUCCUACAUUUUAUUUUUCCAAUCUGCAUUUAUACCGUCCCUUAGCUCUGUUACAUUUUGAAAGUCAGGUUAUCUCCCUAUUUUAAACAUUUGUAAAAUGUGAUAUUUGCUCAUGUUUAUGCUUUGGAAAAGAUUUUAUCAUUUGUUUUCAUUUCCUGCCGAGCUUCUUCGUAUGGCAUUGAUGAGAUGAUCAUGUACUCACAUUUCCGGUCCGCCCUGGGCUGCUAUUAAAGAACUUGGCGG